GAUGAACGCUGGCGGCGUGCCUAAUACAUGCAAGUCGAGCGAACAGACGAGGAGCUUGCUCCUCUGACGUUAGCGGCGGACGGGUGAGUAACACGUGGAUAACCUACCUAUAAGACUGGGAUAACUUCGGGAAACCGGAGCUAAUACCGGAUAAUAUAUUGAACCGCAUGGUUCAAUAGUGAAAGACGGUUUUGCUGUCACUUAUAGAUGGAUCCGCGCCGCAUUAGCUAGUUGGUAAGGUAACGGCUUACCAAGGCGACGAUGCGUAGCCGACCUGAGAGGGUGAUCGGCCACACUGGAACUGAGACACGGUCCAGACUCCUACGGGAGGCAGCAGUAGGGAAUCUUCCGCAAUGGGCGAAAGCCUGACGGAGCAACGACGCGUGAGUGAUGAAGGUCUUCGGAUCGUAAAACUCUGUUAUUAGGGAAGAACAAAUGUGUAAGUAACUAUGCACGUCUUGACGGUACCUAAUCAGAAAGCCACGGCUAACUACGUG
rnacentral:rRNA from 1 species